CUCAGAUUGAACGCUGGCGGCAGGCUUAACACAUGCAAGUCGAGCGGUAACAUUUCUAGCUUGCUAGAAGAUGACGAGCGGCGGACGGGUGAGUAAUGCUUGGGAAUAUGCCUUUACGUGGGGGACAACAGUUGGAAACGACUGCUAAUACCGCAUAAUGUCUUCGGACCAAAGGAGGGGACUCUUCGGAGCCUUUCGCGUAAAGAUUAGCCCAAGUGGGAUUAGCUAGUUGGUGGGGUAAUGGCUCACCAAGGCGACGAUCCCUAGCUGGUUUGAGAGGAUGAUCAGCCACACUGGGACUGAGACACGGCCCAGACUCCUACGGGAGGCAGCAGUGGGGAAUAUUGCACAAUGGGCGAAAGCCUGAUGCAGCCAUGCCGCGUGUGUGAAGAAGGCCUUCGGGUUGUAAAGCACUUUCAGUCGUGAGGAAGGGGUAGUAAUUAAUACUUGCUAUCUUUGACGUUAGCGACAGAAGAAGGACCGGCUAACUCCGUGCCAGCAGCCGCGGUAAUAC
rnacentral:rRNA from 1 species